UACGUAGGGUGCGAGCGUUGUCCGGAAUUACUGGGCGUAAAGAGCUCGUAGGUGGUUUGUCGCGUUGUUCGUGAAAUCUCACGGCUUAACUGUGAGCGUGCGGGCGAUACGGGCAGACUAGAGUACUGCAGGGGAGACUGGAAUUCCUGGUGUAGCGGUGGAAUGCGCAGAUAUCAGGAGGAACACCGGUGGCGAAGGCGGGUCUCUGGGACGUUACUGACGCUGAGACGCGAAAGCGUGGGGAGCAAACAGG
rnacentral:rRNA from 1 species